rnacentral:rRNA from 1 species
CCUACGGGUGGCAGCAGUGAGGAAUAUUGGUCAAUGGGCGAGAGCCUGAACCAGCCAAGUCGCGUGAGGGAGUACUGCCCUAUGGGUUGUAAACCUCUUUUGUCGGGGAGCAAGAGCCGGACGUUGCCGGCUGUGAGAGUACCCGAAGAAAAAGCAUCGGCUAACUCCGUGCCAGCAGCCGCGGUAUUACGGAGGAUGCGCGCGUUAUCCGGGUUUUUUGGGUUUAAAGGGUGCGCAGGCGGAUUUUUAAGUCAGCGGUAACAUCGUGGGGCUCAACCCCAUCCAGCCGUUGAAACUGGGGAUCUAGAGUGUGCGAGAGGUAUGCGGAAUGCGUGGUGUAGCGGUGAAAUGCAUAGAUAGCACGCAGAACCCCGAUUGCGAAGGCAGCCUACCGGUGCACAACUGACGCUCAGGCACGAAAGCGUGGGUAUCGAACAGGAUUAGAUACCCCGGUAGUC